AAAGGCUCCGCGCACGGAUGGACCUGCGGUGCAUUAGCUGGUUGGUGAGGUAACGGCCCACCAAGGCGACGAUGCAUAGCCGGCCUGAGAGGGCGGACGGCCACACUGGGACUGAGACACGGCCCAGACUCCUACGGGAGGCAGCAGUAGGGAAUUUUCGUCAAUGGGCGCAAGCCUGAACGAGCAAUGCCGCGUGAACGAGGAAGGUCUUCGGAUCGUAAAGUUCUGUUGAAGGGAAAAGAGCGGAGAGAGGAAAUGGUACUCCGAUUGAUAUUACCCUUCGAGGAAGUCACGGCUAACUACGUGCCAGCAGCCGCGGUAAUACGUAGGUGGCGAGCGUUAUCCGGAAUGAUUGGGCGUAAAGGGUGCGUAGGCGGCCUGCUAAGUCUGGAGUGAAAGGUACCGGCUCAACCGGUACAGGCUCUGGAAACUGGCGGGCUAGAGAGCAGGAGAGGGCGGUGGAACUCCAUGUGUAGCGGUAAAAUGCGUAGAUAUAUGGAAGAACACCAGUGGCGAAGGCGGCCGCCUGGCCUGUUACUGACGCUGAGGCACGAAAGCGUGGGGAGCAAAUAGGAUUAGAUACCCUAGUAGUCCACGCCGUAAACGAUGAGGACCAAGUGUUGGGGAAGACCCAGUGCUGCAGUUAACGCAGUGAGUCCUCCGCCUGGGGAGUAUGCACGCAAGUGUGAAACUCAAAGGAAUUGACGGGGCCCGCACAAGCGGUGGAGCAUGUGGUUUAAUCCGAAGCAACGCGAAGAACCUUACCAAGUCUUGACAUCUGGAUGACAGGGACGUAACGGUCCCCUUACUUCGGUACAUCCAAGACAGGUGGUGCAUGGUUGUCGUCA
rnacentral:rRNA from 1 species